rnacentral:rRNA from 1 species
UACGAAGGGGGCUAGCGUUGUUCGGAUUUACUGGGCGUAAAGCGCACGUAGGCGGAUCGUUAAGUCGGGGGUGAAAUCCCGGGGCUCAACCCCGGAACUGCCUUCGAUACUGGCGAUCUUGAGUCCGGAAGAGGUGAGUGGAACUCCUAGUGUAGAGGUGGAAUUCGUAGAUAUUAGGAAGAACACCAGUGGCGAAGGCGGCUCACUGGUCCGGUACUGACGCUGAGGUGCGAAAGCGUGGGGAGCAAACAGG